rnacentral:rRNA from 1 species
GUGAGGAAUAUUGCGCAAUGGAGGCAACUCUGACGCAGCCAUGCCGCGUGCAGGAAGAAGGCGCUACGCGUUGUAAACUGCUUUUAACCGGGAAGAAACCCCAGGACGUGUCCUGGGUUGACGGUACCGGAGGAAUAAGCACCGGCUAACUUCGUGCCAGCAGCCGCGGUAAUACGAAGGGUGCAAGCGUUAUCCGGAUUCAUCGGGUUUAAAGGGUGCGUAGGCGGAGCGUUAAGUCAGUGGUGAAAUCCUGCAGCUUAACUGUAGACUUGCCAUUGAUACUGGCGCGCUUGAGUGCGCUUGAAGUGGGCGGAAUGUGCCGUGUAGCGGUGAAAUGCUUAGAUAUGGCACAGAACACCAAUUGCGAAGGCAGCUCACUAAGGCGAUACUGACGCUGAGGCACGAAAGCGUGGGGAUCGAACAGGAUUAGAUACCCGUGUAGUCC